GUGGGGAAUAUUGGUCAAUGGGCGAGAGCCUGAACCAGCCAAGUAGCGUGCAGGAUGACGGCCCUAUGGGUUGUAAACUGCUUUUAUACGGGGAUAAAGUGAGGGACGUGUCCCUUAUUGUAGGUACCGUAUGAAUAAGGACCGGCUAAUUCCGUGCCAGCAGCCGCGGUAAUACGGAAGGUCCGGGCGUUAUCCGGAUUUAUUGGGUUUAAAGGGAGCGCAGGCCGAUGGUUAAGCGUGACGUGAAAUGUAGCCGCUCAACGGCUGAACUGCGUCGCGAACUGGCUAUCUUGAGUGAGUUCGAUGUUGGCGGAAUUCGUGGUGUAGCGGUGAAAUGCUUAGAUAUCACGAAGAACUCCGAUUGCGAAGGCAGCCAACAAGGCCUUUACUGACGCUAAAGCUCGAAGGUGCGGGUAUCGAACAGG
rnacentral:rRNA from 1 species